CCUACGGGUGGCAGCAGUGGGGGAUAUUGCACAAUGGGGGGAACCCUGAUGCAGCGACGCCGCGUGGGUGAAGGAGGGUUUCGGCGCGUAAAGCCCUAUCGGCAGGGAAGAAGAUGACGGUACCUGACCACGAAGCCACGGCUAACUACGUGCCAGCAGCCGCGGUAAUACGUAGGGGGCAAGCGUUAUCCGGAUUUAUUGGGUUUAAAGGGUGCGUAGGCGGACAGUCAAGUCAGCGGUAAAAAUGCGGUGCUCAACGCCGUACAGCCGUUGAAACUGGCAGUCUUGAGUGGGCGAGAAGUAUGCGGAAUGCGUGGUGUAGCGGUGAAAUGCAUAGAGAUCACGCAGAACUCCGAUUGCGAAGGCAGCAUACCGGCGCCCGACUGACGCUGAGGCACGAAAGCGUGGGGAUCGAACAGGAUUAGAUACCCCUGUAGUC
rnacentral:rRNA from 1 species